AAAUUUGGAACCAAGUGGAGUGGGUAGCCAGCCAAGUGUGAUGGUGUCACGACCCAAUUUCCCGGGCCAUGACUGGCGCAUGAGCUCAAUGAGAUAGCUCACUAAGCCCAAGCAAGCCUAUCCGUUUAGCUUUACUUAACAAAUUUAUCAUAUCAUGCAUACACACACACACCUUUUCCCAGGUGUGAACAUAACCAAAACACAAUGGCAUUAUCGAUAAUAAUAUACAUGCACUAUACCAGUCAUGUAUUUAGCAAUUUACAUUGCAUACACAUAUUCACAUUGUUAGAUUGUAUUCACAACAAAAGGACCCAUGACUUCCAGCGAAGACAUUUACAAUAAAAGGGAUUACUAUCGAAUGNNN
rnacentral:lncRNA from 1 species